UUAUGGCUUGCAAGACCACCAUCGUUGUCGCUAUUGCAUCUAUCUUUAUGCUAGCACUCGUCAUGUCUUGUGAUAUGAUUGAAGGGAGGUGCACACAACACCAUGGUAACAUACCAUGUAGAGACUCUAAGAUAUGUGAAAAGUGGUGUUUUUCCUUUGGAUAUCCUCGUGGUGGGUACUGUGAGAUUAAUGAUAGUGGAGGUUUUUGUGUAUGUUGUACGUGAUCCGUCUCAUACUGCUAGUUUGUACCAGUGA